GGGUUAAUCCGAGGGCCUUCAGAAGGGGCGCCAGUGGCCUAACCUUGAUCUAGGUGAUCUCUGGUUCUCCGGUUUUGAAAAACGUAUGCCUCACUCCUCCCCAAGAGCUGCUUUUUAAAUCCAUACAGACUGUAAACCUUUUCGCCUAUAUGAACUAAAGACACUUUAAAUAUAGAAGACUACUUUCAUUCAGGGAGAGGCCCCGCGCUGAAGCAAUCUCCGGGCCCUGCACAAAGGAUAGAAAUGUCUGUGAAUUUGACUUGUAAAUGGAUAAAUAACUAGAUUAUUUUAUGUCCUGAAUUUUACAUGUUCUGUUUUGAAGAUGUUUUUUUUAGAAAAUAAUAACGCCAUUUCUCUGGGUUCUUUAAUCAGACUUCUGUGACUAGAUAGCUCACACAACAACAAAGAUAUUGGAUUCCACUUCUGCUAGAAGUAGGUGUUAUUCAGACAAAUUGAGGUUCCAGAAAGAGAAUUAAUUAGAUAAUUAUAAUAUUCAAAAUCCAUUUGAGGGACAUCAACAAAUCAAAACCACUUCCAAAGCUUUUCCUUUAUUGGUGUUUGUGUUUGUGUCUGUUUAGCAGAUCAAUGCUACAUACCUAUCUGACUGGUCUGUUUGGGGUGUGUUGAUUGCACUACGCUGUCUGUCUGCCACUGGUUAUACUGAUGACAUAUUCCCUACACACACACACACACACACUGAGACGGUAUAGAAUGUAUCAUGUAGAACAGAUAAGAUUGUCUGUUCUAUUCAUUAUAUUUCUAUAUGCAACAUCCUGAACCUAGCUGAAUACACACCGGCACAAGGACUAUCUCCAUUCCAGAAACUGCCUUGUCACCUGUAAAAAAAUGAAUAAAUACAUCUUUACAAACAUU